rnacentral:rRNA from 1 species
UACAGAGGUGGCAAGCGUUGUUCGGAAUUACUGGGUGUAAAGGGCGCGUAGGCGGCCUUCUAAGUCAGACGUGAAAUCCCCCGGCUUAACCUGGGAACUGCGUCUGAUACUGGGAGGCUAGAGUAUGGGAGAGGGAUGUAGAAUUCCAGGUGUAGCGGUGAAAUGCGUAGAUAUCUGGAGGAAUACCGGUGGCGAAGGCGGCAUCCUGGACCAUUACUGACGCUGAGGCGCGAAAGCUAGGGGAGCAAACGGG